rnacentral:rRNA from 1 species
UACGUAGGGGGCAAGCGUUGUCCGGAUUUAUUGGGCGUAAAGAGCGUGUAGGCGGCCAUGUAGGUCCGUUGUGAAAACUCGAGGCUCAACCUCGAGACGCCGAUGGAAACCAUGUGGCUAGAGUCCGGAAGAGGAGAGUGGAAUUCCUGGUGUAGCGGUGAAAUGCGCAGAUAUCAGGAAGAACACCCGUGGCUAAGGCGGCUCUCUAGUACGGUAUUGACGCUGAGACGCGAAAGCGUGGGGAGCGAACAGG